GACGAACGCUGGCGGCGUGCUUAACACAUGCAAGUCGAACGGAAAGGCCCUGCUUUUGUGCGGUGCUCGAGUGGCGAACGGGUGAGUAACACGUGAGUAACCUGCCCUUGACUUUGGGAUAACUUCAGGAAACUGGGGCUAAUACCGGAUAGGAGCUCCUGCUGCAUGGUGGGGGUUGGAAAGUUUCGGCGGUUGGGGAUGGACUCGCGGCUUAUCAGCUUGUUGGUGGGGUAGGGGCUUACCAAGGCUUUGACGGGUAGCCGGCCUGAGAGGGUGACCGGCCACAUUGGGACUGAGAGACGGCCCAGACUCCUACGGGAGGCAGGAGUGGGGAAUAUUGCACAAUGGGCGGAAGCCUGAUGCAGCAACGCCGCGUGCGGGAUGACGGCCUUCGGGUUGUAAACCGCUUUCGCCUGUGACGAAGCGUGAGUGACUGUAAUGGGUAAAGAAGCACCGGCUAACUACGU
rnacentral:rRNA from 1 species